rnacentral:rRNA from 1 species
CCUACGGGUGGCAGCAGUGGGGAAUUUUGCGCAAUGGGGGAAACCCUGACGCAGCAACGCCGCGUGAGUGAUGAAGGCCUUCGGGUUGUAAAGCUCUUUGAGUGGGGACGAAGCCCCACGGGACGAACAAUCCCGUGGUUUGACGGUACCCACAGAACAAGUUCCGGCUAACUACGUGCCAGCAGCCGCGGUAAUACGUAGGGAGCAAGCGUUGUUCGGAAUUAUUGGGCGUAAAGAGCGCGUAGGCUGUUCGGUAAGUCCGAUGUGAAAGCCCACGGCU